rnacentral:rRNA from 1 species
UAGGUAACGUACCUUCGAACCUGGGAUAACCAGUCGAAAGAUUGGCUAAUACCGGAUACGACCGAGAGGACUUCGGCCCUCACGGUGAAAGGCGGCCUCUGUUUGCAAGCUGUCAUUCGAAGAGCGGCCUGCGCACCAUUAGCUAGUUGGUGAGGUAACGGCUCACCAAGGCUGAGAUGGUUAGCUGGUCUGAGAGGAUGGCCAGCCACACUGGGACUGAGACACGGCAGA